rnacentral:rRNA from 1 species
CGCGGUAAUUCCAGCUCCAAUAGCGUAUACUAAAGUGUUGCAGUUAAAAAGCUCGUAGUUGGAUUUCUGGCGGGGACGGCUGGUCGGUCUCGAAAGGGGCUGUACUGUUGUUGGUUCCCGUCAUCCUUGGGGAGAGCGGCUCUUACAUUAAGUUGUCGGCGUCGGGAUCCCUAUCUUUUACUGUGAAAAAAUUAGAGUGUUCAAGGCAGGCUUAGGCCCUGAAUACAUUAGCAUGGAAUAAUAAGAUACGACCUUGGUGGUCUAUUUUGUUGGUUUGCACGCCAAGGUAAUGAUUAAUAGGGAUAGUUGGGGGUAUUCGUAUUCAAUUGUCAGAGGUGAAAUUCCUGGAUUUAUGGAAGACGAACUACUGCGAAAGCAUUUACCAAGGAUGUUUUCAUUAAUCAAGAACGAAAGUUAGGGGAUCGAAGAUGAUUAGAUACCAUCGUAGUCUUAACCAUAAACUAUGCCGACUAGGGAUCGGUGGGUGCAUUUUUAGGCCUCAUCGGCACCUUAUGAGAAAUCAAAGUCUUUGGGUUCCGGGGGGAGUAUGGUCGCAAGGCUGAAACUUAAAGAAAUUGACGG